AGGAGGAACAGCCCCAGUGGCGGGGCAGCUCUGGAAACCUGGAUUCAGCCCCUGCAGGAACUCCGGAGCUCUCCGUCUGCAGGGCCUGGAGGCUCCGGGCGGGG
rnacentral:pre_miRNA from 1 species